UUGAAGGCCAAGAGUUUCAUUGAGAGGAAGAGAUGAUAGCUCCUUGGUUAGCUGAUGAAACUUUAAUUAUAAUCAGGAUAACGAAUAAUAAAAUAAUCUAAUCGAUCUCAUCAUCUCUCUCUCUAGGGAAAAAUUGGCAAAAGAGAUACUUUCCAAAAUUAUUUAUUUAAAUACCCACUAAAUUUCUUUUUGAUUUAAUUUUUAGGGUUAAGGGAUAAAGAGUGGAGAAAAAUUUAAAAAGUGGGGCCCACAUGUGGGUUAAGGGACCAUUUCAUCAUUUUUACAGCUUUAAAAAUUUAAUAUAAUACACCUAACACCCACUACUUCUUUCAAUAUUAAAAAAAAAACUUUUUCUCUCACCUCUUCAACUUCAACUUUUCCUCUACUCUAAGAAUUUUCUUUCAAAUGCUAUUUUUUAUUUUUCUUUUCUCCAGCGACAAAGGGCUCGUUUUUUGCAUUAUAAAGUAGGUUAUUUUUUUUCUUUGAAAACCUGGUGAUGUAUAUUAAUUAUGAAGAAGAGAGGGGGGACUAGGCCUUAACCUCAAUAUACAUCAAAGAUUGCAAAGCAAUCUGGGCAAAAAGAAUGUGACAAAACAGUGAAACUGUUGCACAUUCACACUAUCUACAAAACACUACACCUAGCUAACAAAGAAAUUGGUCUUAUCAUAUCUAAUCCUAAGAUUUGGAAGCUGUAAUUUAUCCAAGAAAUAUGCGCCUUUAGCUCCUGCUGGUAGUUGGCCAAAGUCGGUGUAAAGCAUAGAUUCUCCACUGCUUGCUGCCAGCUUUGCAAGGAAAUCUCAGACCAUGUUUGCUUCUCUGUAGCAAUGGGAGAAUGUUAUCUCCUUUGCAACAAUCAAUCUUGUGGUGUCUUCCACAAUGGGUCUUAAAUUCAUAUUGUGGGAGGUCCUAUUUUGCAUCAUAUUUAUAAUCAAUAAGGAGUUUAUUUCGACAACACAAGACUUGUACCCUCUGGCUUUUAGCCACUUUACUGCAAAAUGUGCGUCAUGGCUUUAGCGUCAUUGUGAUCCCUGCACUAUAUCGGUAGAGCAAAAGCAAAAAGAAAAUUUCUAACACUAUCCCUUGCUAGUCCUCUUAUGCCGACUUUUCCAUUGUGGUCAAAAUAACUUCCAUAUCGGUGUUGAAUUUAAUUUGUAUCUGUUGAGGCUUGAUCCAAGAAAUUGCUUUAAGAAUGGUUCUUGGCCGAAAUUUCUCAACCAUCUCACAUAACUGGUUUCAUUAAUUGUUGAAGAAGAAGCUAAAGAUGGAAAGGAAGAAGCAGCAGACAAAGAAGAAGGAGAAGACAAAAAAGAUGGAUAGAAAGAAAAAAAUAGAAGAAACAGAAAAAAAGAUUAGUCUUGGAUAUCGUUGAUUUCAUCAAUGAUAAUAUUUGUGACGAUGGGGAAAAAGACAUUUGAAUGGUAAUGUUGUUAAUGUUUAAGACUUCUUUUUUUUUUUUUUUUAGAAACAAAGGAGUUGAAUGAUCUAUUGUUAGGAUAUGACAAACAUAUUUUUAUUUUAUGAAAAUUGUUAUGAUUCUGCGCUGAA